rnacentral:siRNA from 1 species
UUGGUAGGUUGCUCUUGCUCA